GAAUAUUGCGCAAUGGGGGCAACCCUGACGCAGCAACGCCGCGUGCGGGAUGAAGGCCUUCGGGUUGUAAACCGCUUUCAGCAGGGAGGAUAGUGACAGUACCUGCACAAGAAGCCCCGGCUAACUACGUGCCAGCAGCCGCGGUAACACGUAGGGGGCGAGCGUUAUCCGGAUUCAUUGGGCGUAAAGCGCGCGCAGGCGGCCGCCUAAGCGGGACCUCUAAUCCCGGGGCUCAACCCCGGGCCGGGUCCCGAACUGGGCGGCUCGGGUGCGGUAGAGGAGGGCGGAAUUCCCGGUGUAGCGGUGGAAUGCGCAGAUAUCGGGAAGAACACCGAUGGCGAAGGCAGCCCUCUGGGCCGUCACCGACGCUGAGGCGCGAAAGCUAGGGGAGCGAACA
rnacentral:rRNA from 1 species